rnacentral:rRNA from 1 species
AUGGUGACCAUGCCGGGACGCAGGAGGGCAGCGUGGGGUCGUUGUAAAGCCACCCAUGGAAGCCCUCGGCCGGGAUGUGCUGGAGAUCCAGGCCACCAUGGUACUUCCCCGGUCUCGCGCCCGACGUGUUCCCCGAGUUGCCACUCGUCGUCGCCACGGUUGGCUGUUGUUGCUACCGUCUCCCUCGUCCUACUGCUGUCGUCCUGCGACAUGCCUCGGGCAGCUUCGGCUGCAUCCUAUGGCGAGUCUCCUUACGCACGCCCGCCUGGAUCAGGAGCUGCACGGGCUCGCGGCAGCGGCCCUGCUCGGAGACACAACGGCUCAGGGCAGAAAGGGGACGGACGCAACAACUCAGGGGUGGAAGGGCGACGGAGCGGUGGGCGGAGGCGAGGCCUGUCGGGAUGA